rnacentral:rRNA from 1 species
AUUGAACGCUGGCGGCAGGCCUAACACAUGCAAGUCGAGCGGGGUUUUCGGACCUAGCGGCGGACGGGUGAGUAAUGCGUAGGAAGCUGCCCGAUAGAGGGGGAUACCAGUUGGAAACGACUGUUAAUACCGCAUAAUGUCUACGGACCAAAGUGUGGGACCUUCGGGCCACAUGCUAUCGGAUGCGCCUACGUGGGAUUAGCCAGUUGGUGAGGUAAUGGCUCACCAAGGCGACGAUCUCUAGCUGGUUUGAGAGGAGGAUCAGCCACACUGGAACUGAGACACGGUCCAGACUCCUACGGGAGGCAGCAGUGGGGAAUAUUGGACAAUGGGCGCAAGCCUGAUCCAGCCAUGCCGCGUGUGUGAAGAAGGCCUUCGGGUUGUAAAGCACUUUCAGCGAGGAGGAAGGGUGGUGUGUUAAUAGCACAUCAUUUUGACGUUACUCGCAGAAGAAGCACCGGCUAACUCUGUGCCAGCCGCCGCGGUAA